rnacentral:rRNA from 1 species
UACAGAGGUGGCAAGCGUUGUUCGGAAUCACUGGGCGUAAAGCGCACGUAGGCGGCUUUCUAAGUCAGGGGUGAAAUCCUGGAGCUCAACUCCAGAACUGCCUUUGAUACUGGAGAGCUUGAGUCCGGGAGAGGUGAGUGGAACUCCGAGUGUAGAGGUGAAAUUCGUAGAUAUUCGGAAGAACACCAGUGGCGAAGGCGGCUCACUGGCCCGGUACUGACGCUGAUGUGCGAAAGCGUGGGGAGCAAACAGG